GACGAACGCUGGCGGCGUGCUUAACACAUGCAAGUCGAACGGAAAGGCCCCCACUUUUUUGGUGGGGGUGCUCGAGUGGCGAACGGGUGAGUAACACGUGGGUGAUCUGCCCUGUACUUCGGGAUAAGCUUGGGAAACUGGGUCUAAUACCGGAUAGGACCAUGGUUUAGUGUCUCAUGGUGGAAAAAUUAUUGUUUUGGUGCAGGAUGAGCUCGCGGCCUAUCUGCUUGUUGGUGGGGUAAUGGCCUACCAAGGCGUCGACGGGUAGCCGGCCUGAGAGGGUGGACGGCCACAUUGGGACUGAGAUACGGCCCAGACUCCGACGGGAGGCAGCAGUGGGGAAUAUUGCACAAUGGGCGCAAGCCUGAUGCAGCGACGCCGCGUGGGGGAUGACGGCCUUCGGGUUGUAAACUCCUUUCGUUAGGGACGAAGCCGCACCUUUUUUGGGUGUGGUGACGGUACCUUUGUGAAGAAGCACCGGCUAACUACGUG
rnacentral:rRNA from 1 species